CGAUGGCUGUGUUUUUGGGGACUUGUGACCCGGGCCCCCAUCUGAGGGGCGGCUGUGUCCCAUAGGUUGUCCCUGUUGUCCCCUGGAA
rnacentral:sRNA from 1 species